rnacentral:rRNA from 1 species
CCUACGGGUGGCAGCAGUGAGGAAUAUUGGUCAAUGGGCGAGAGCCUGAACCAGCCAAGUCGCGUGAGGGAGUACUGCCCUAUGGGUUGUAAACCUCUUUUGUCGGGGAGCAAUAAUGGUCACGUGUUGCCAGACGAGAGUACCGUACGAAUAAGCAUCGGCUAACUCCGUGCCAGCAGCCGCGGUAAUACGGGGGAUGCAAGCGUUAUCCGGAUUUAUUGGGUUUAAGGGGUGCGUAGGCUGUGAGGUAAGUCAGCGGUGAAAUGCCCCCGCUCAACGGGGUGAAGUGCCAUUGAUACUGCGUUGCUGGAAUGCGGAUGCCGUGGGAGGAAUGUGUGGUGUAGCGGUGAAAUGCAUAGAUAUCACACAGAACACCGAUUGCGAAGGCAUCUAACGAAUCCGCGAUUGACGCUGAUGCACGAAAGCGUGGGUAUCAAACAGGAUUAGAUACCCUUGUAGUC